CCAUUCUCUUUCUGCCCUGCGCCUGCCCAGCCCUCCUACUCUGGUGGCCGAGGGUCACGGGGCAGGGGCCGGCGCUGGGUGGGGUGGCGG
rnacentral:miRNA from 1 species